rnacentral:sRNA from 17 species
CGCUUGCAUGGACGGGGGCUGAAUCCACCACUAGCGUGCAGGGGAUAGCCGAAACUAGUGGGAUAGCGUCUGAGAUAUCGGCAACGGGAUGGCGAAGCUAGCGUCCCGGAGGGCGCGUAGAGGCUGGCGGGC